CCUGGUGUUCAGCACCUGGACGGUCUUACGGCCGUAAUGCCAGUAGCUGUAGCCCGACGCUGUAGUAGUCACAGCCGUGAUGUACCUGUAAGGAAAAAAGGAAAUACGACCUCAUAUUCUUCGUUAUGAUUCAGGCCACAGAACUGAAGCUUGACUGUUUGAACACAGAACAGAGAGGUGACAGGACAGACGUAUUUACCAUAAACACUGCAGCAGGACGCUGUCUGUGAACUGGAAGACUGGAGCUGCUAGGGAAGCUGCGACCAGACACAGCUGGAUGGCUGUGUUCACCUGGAAGAGACCAUUACACGUUUAAGAGAGGAAUAAAAACUGCUAACUCAUCUAAAAGCUCCAGAAUGACCAAAGAAACAUGAAAUGUGUGUGCAUACAGAGUAAGACAUCUCUAUGGCUAGUUUGCAGCCUUUUCUGCAGCAAACCUUCAGAUACAUGUAUCAGAAAGGCCUGUACAGCACAGCUGUUUCAAUGUAUGACAUGCAGGCAUUCACCAGUAAAAUCAGGCUAGCCCCCUCAUUUUUAACCAAUGCUUAGAAAAUGAUUGAUGACGUGGUAAAUUUUUGUUAUCUCUAAAAACUAAGCUGUAAAUAGUGCAAGAACUGCGCCUCCUAUAGUUACAAGUAACACACUGCUGUCAAAUGAACAGAUUUUGUCUUUGUGCAAGAAUCUAUCAAACUGAGCUUGUAAAUGUUCAUUACUCAAGCCCAGACAGGAGGAGAUUGUUGAAGUCCAAUGGUAUGUCUGGCUGAUUAACUUGACAAAGUAUAGUUAAAAAAAAAAAAAA